CCUACGGGAGGCAGCAGUGGGGAAGAGUGCACAAUGGGGGAAACCCUGAUGCAGCAACGCCGCGUGAGUGAAGAAGGAUGUCGGUAGGUAAAGCUCUAUCAGCAGGGAAGAAGAGGACGGUACCUGAGGAAGAAGCCCCGGCUAACGACGUGCCCGCAGCCGCGGUAAUACGUAGGGGGCAAGCGUUAUCCGGAGUUACUGGGUGUAAAGGGAGCGCAGACGGCAGUGCCAGUCUGGAUUGAAAGCCCGGGGCCCCACCCCGGAACUUCUCUGUAAACUGUGCGGCUAGAGUACUGGAGGGUCCGCCUGCAUUCCUCUUGUAGCGGUGACAUGCGUAGCU
rnacentral:rRNA from 1 species